rfam:Myotis brandtii contig193189, whole genome shotgun sequence.
GGCAGUUCUUGGGUGACGCACCCUGGAUCGAGCUACCCUUCUCUUUGGUUCCGGGGUGCUUCACCCGAGAACCACC